rnacentral:tRNA from 2 species
GGUGGGAUGGCUGAGCAUAGCGGUGGAUUGUAGCUCCACACAGAGAGGUGGAAAGUCCUCUUCCCAUCA